rnacentral:rRNA from 1 species
GACGAACGCUGGCGGCGUGCUUAACACAUGCAAGUCGAACGGAAAGGCCCUGCUUUUGUGGGGUGCUCGAGUGGCGAACGGGUGAGUAACACGUGAGUAACCUGCCCUUGACUUUGGGAUAACUUCAGGAAACUGGGGCUAAUACCGGAUAGGAGCUCCUGCUGCAUGGUGGGGGUUGGAAAGUUUCGGCGGUUGGGGAUGGACUCGCGGCUUAUCAGCUUGUUGGUGGGGUAGUGGCUUACCAAGGCUUUGACGGGUAGCCGGCCUGAGAGGGGGACCGGCCACAUUGGGACUGAGGUACGGCCCAGACUCCUACGGGAGGCAGCAGUGGGGAAUAUUGCACAAUGGGCGGAAGCCUGAUGCAGCAACGCCGCGUGCGGGAUGACGGCCUUCGGGUUGUAAACCGCUUUCGCCUGUGACGAGGCGUGAGUGACGGUAAUGGGUAAAGAAGCACCGGCUAACUACGUG